AUACGUAGGGUGCGAGCGUUGUCCGGAAUUACUGGGCGUAAAGAGCUCGUAGGUGGUUUGUCGCGUCGUCUGUGAAAUUCCGGGGCUUAACUCCGGGCGUGCAGGCGAUACGGGCAUAACUUGAGUACUGUAGGGGAGACUGGAAUUCCUGGUGUAGCGGUGAAAUGCGCAGAUAUCAGGAGGAACACCGGUGGCGAAGGCGGGUCUCUGGGCAGUAACUGACGCUGAGGAGCGAAAGCAUGGGUAGCGAACAGGAUUAGAUACCCUGGUAGUCCAUGCCGUAAACGGUGGGCGCUAGGUGUAGGGGUCUUCCACGACUUCUGUGCCGUAGCUAACGCAUUAAGCGCCCCGCCUGGGGAGUACGGCCGCAAGACUAAAACUCAAAUGAAUUGACGGGG
rnacentral:rRNA from 1 species